UGGGGAAUAUUGGACAAUGGGCGAAAGCCUGAUCCAGCAAUGCCGCGUGAGUGAUGAAGGCCCUAGGGUUGUAAAGCUCUUUUACCCGGGAUGAUAAUGACAGUACCGGGAGAAUAAGCCCCGGCUAACUUCGUGCCAGCAGCCGCGGUAAGACGAAGGGGGCUAGCGUUGUUCGGAAUUACUGGGCGUAAAGCGCGUGUAGGCGGUUGUCCAAGUCGGGUGUGAAAGCCUUGAGCUCAACUCAAGAAAUGCACUCGAUACUGGGCGACUCGAGUGCCGGAGAGGAUAGUGGAAUUCCCAGUGUAGUGGUGAAAUACGUAGAGAUUGGGAAGAACACCAGUGGCGAAGGCGGCUAUCUGGACGGUUACUGACGCUAAGACGCGAAAGCGUGGGGAGCAAAC
rnacentral:rRNA from 1 species